rnacentral:rRNA from 1 species
UACGGAGGGAGCUAGCGUUGUUCGGAAUUACUGGGCGUAAAGCGCACGUAGGCGGCUUUGUAAGUUAGAGGUGAAAGCCCGGGGCUCAACUCCGGAACUGCCUUUAAGACUGCAUCGCUUGAAUCCAGGAGAGGUGAGUGGAAUUCCGAGUGUAGAGGUGAAAUUCGUAGAUAUUCGGAAGAACACCAGUGGCGAAGGCGGUUGCCUGGAGCUUUGCUGACGCUGAGGCGCGAAAGCGUGGGGAGCGAGCCGG